CACAUCAGAUGUGAAUUUAUGGCCGAAAUAUUCCUCUACGGGUUUUUUGAGGCGUAAGACUGCGACGUACUUGUGAUUGAAGUAAUUUUCGAUAACUUGACAAAAUGAUUAUUUAUUUUUUUGUGUUUCUCAGUACGCAUUGGCAUUACCCGGUAUUCGUAGAUGCAAUGGCUCGUACUCCGAGGCCGGUGGCAACUCCGGCGGUAACCCAGAACAGGGUGGCUGCGUUGGCGGCUCUACGGGUUAUCAUGCACCCGAACGAUGACCAAGAUCCUUGCAUGAAUCUUCACAUGAUAAAUGUUUAUCAACAGGGCAACCAGCUGAUAAACCAAGCCAACGAUCACUGCAAACUGGCGAUGAAUGGCUUCAACAUUUUGGUCAGUGACGGUCCGGUGCCACCGGACUGGAUCAACCCCUGCUACAUGGCCCAAAGCGCUCGAUGUCUCAAGUUGGGCACGGCUGGGGGACGCUGGAGAUGCUCCGUCAAAGUCCUUGGGCCCCCCCAGUGCUUUUUUUUCUCGAGGUCGUCCAAGAAAGUAAACUUGAGGCGGUGCGCUCAAAAUCUACCUAUCCCUAAUAAUUAGGUGUUGAGAUGGGUGCAGUGGAUCUACGGUAGGGAAGAGAGAGAUUGUUUGGCGUUGCCAUAAUUUUAGCAUUAGUUUUUAAAUUUGAAUAUUUUUUCACGUCUCGGCUUAACCCAUGAAUUAAUUUUUGAUCUCAGACUCUAGGGGACACAAAUCUUUUUUGUAGCUUGCAUAAAAAAUAGGGUACCAACUUUUUUUUCAAAAUUAUAAAAUUAAGGGAAUCAAUUUUUCAAAAAAAGAAAACAACAAAUGCAACUUUGCAAACUCAUGGCACAGGGAAAGAUUCAAUUUUUAAAAACCCCGAAAAUACGUUGUCAUGAAUUCAGAACGCUAUGCCAUGGACGGUUAAGUCAUUAAAUGCUCUUGCUUUAUAUAUUUCAACUAUGUAGCUUAAUUUUUUGUGACGCAUAAACAUGAUUUUAGAAUCAAAUAUUAAAUAACACAUGUUCACCAAAUUAGAUGAAUCAAUUGAUUUAUGCCCGCCGAUUCCAAUAAUUUUCAUUUUUUGUCAUCAGUAAGCAAGACAUCUGGCGGCUUGAUUUCUUAGUGACCAGUUUUCUAUGGUUUUACGAUGGAGAAUUUUUAGGAUGUCUGAAACUUGAUAAAGAUCAUGUUUAAGUGGAAACUACUGAGUAAACUAAGACGAGGAUACCCGAGGUUAAUACAUUGAAUAAUUAUUGGAGGAGAUAUGACAAAAUAACCCAUUUUGCUAAGAUACAAGUGUAUGAUUGGAAAAUGCCGCCAGAUGACGUCAGCAAGCGGUGAAUUUUUUCUCUUUAAAAUUUAUUUGUAUACUUUUACCCAUAUCAGAAAAAAAAUUAUGAAAAAUACUGCGAAACCAGCUCUUUAGGCACUUUUAGACGAAGCAAUAAAAAGGCGUACAAAUUCUCCAUAUCAUCACUUUCCAGCGAUUUUGAACGAAAUUGAUAGACAGUAUUCAGCUCGAAUUGGUUUCCUUCCCCGAGUUCAGUUGCGAUCUUGAAAGAAGCCAGUGCAGAAUGUUGAAUUGAUUUUGCUCUUACUUCUGUUUUUCGGUCUAUAAUCUUGCACUUUGUCCAUACAGACGGUUUCAUGCUGAAAGAAACUAUAUGCAUCGGGCUUGUGUGUGAGAUUGUUCCUUUCAGCAUGAAUACCUUCAUACAUGCAUUUAGUCGUGUGUCGUUAAGGUUCAGUCUAAUGUUGGAUUAGUGGCCCGAAAAGAUUAGCUCUUCCUAUCCAUGUAUAGAUGAAUUAAGUAAAUAAAAGUAAGUCAUCUUAUGAACAUUCCAAGAUGCUGGAUUUUCGUGACGAUGUCCGCCAAAUUUGAACUUGAACUAAUGAAAAUAAGAUUUCCUUGAUGGAAUCGGUCGGUCGACAAACUUGCAAUCUCAACAUUUAUUGUUCGUUUAGUAUUUCUUUAUAC
rnacentral:lncRNA from 1 species